AUACGUAGGGUGCAAGCGUUAAUCGGAAUUACUGGGCGUAAAACGUGCGCAGGCGGUUUUGUAAGCCAGGGGUGGAAUCCCCGGGCUCAACCUGGGCACUGCCCUUGUCACUGGAAGGCUGUAGUGCGGCAGAGGGGGGUGGACGUCGGCGUGUAGAAGUGAAAUGCGUAGAUAUGCGGAGGAACACCGAUGGCGAAGGCAAUCCCCUGGGCCUGCACUGACGCUCAUGCACGAAAGCGUGGGGAGCAAACAGGAUUAGAUACCCUGGUAGUCCACGCCCUAAACGAUGUCAACUGGUUGUUGGGGAUUUAUUUUCUCAGUAACGAAGCUAACGCGUGAAGUUGACCGCCUGGGGAGUACGGCCGCAAGGUUAAAACUCAAAUGAAUUGACGGGG
rnacentral:rRNA from 1 species